GUUUUCGGAGUUUGGAUUUUUCCGGUCUAUCUUUCUUUUAUUGCCGUAGACCAGGGAGAUUUUCCAGCCAAUUGGAACGAAACGGAGCAAUUAUCUGAACGUAACAAAUUAUCGGCAGGUAUAUGCACACUAGUCCUGGCGGUAAUUGGUCAGCUUAUGACAACGGAACACGGAACGGAAUAUCACUACGAUUGAUACUGCAUAUUACGACCGAACAGUUGUAUCGAUUUUAUUCUCGAAUCUCUGAGAAAUGUAUCAGCGAUUUCUUUGAAAAAUUAAACAGCGCAUUAAUCUGGCCGAAGAAAGUCACCGAUGGCUAGCCUUGGAUGGUAUUUAUCAAACACGGAAGGUGCUUUGCAGCAUACUCGUGUGUGGGCAGUUGUUGUAAGGUGGCAUCUGAACCAAUCAUUCCGAGUAUUUGUUCAUCGGUGAGAGCGGUAGUGCAUUGGAACCUGCCGCAUUGUUUUCUAUAGCGGAACUAGCAAGUUCAAAAAAGAAAUUGCAUGGUAACGUGAUAGUUUCACUAGCUAGGACCGGUGAUAAGUUCAGUAGUCGAUAAAUAAGGCUUAACAUAUUAGAACGACUAAUAAUCUGCCUGUGUAUCAAAAAUGUACAAGAAUA